CGAAACUAAAGUUGAUUUCAUUGUCGUCGUCUGUGAUUGAUCCUGCACAUUCACAUUGACGACAAAGCCCUCAGUUUUGUCAUAAGAUAUGGAUCGUGGUUUGGAGUGACUUUUAAAAGGAAGGAUUAAUACCUGGUUAAAAAAGGAAUGCAGUGGGAUUUUCUUAGAAAAAGAUGCCAAUUCCAUGUAUUUCCAACGAAACACAUGACGAAGUUUUGGCUAUAAAGGAAAUAAAUAAGACAUGUCAUCUAGCACAGAC